rnacentral:rRNA from 1 species
GGUUAAGCGACUAAGCGUACACGGUGGAUGCCCUGGCAGUCAGAGGCGAUGAAGGACGUGCUAAUCUGCGAAAAGCGUCGGUAAGGUGAUAUGAACCGUUAUAACCGGCGAUGUCCGAAUGGGGAAACCCAGUGCAAUUCGUUGCACUAUCGUUAACUGAAUACAUAGGUUAACGAGGCGAACCGGGGGAACUGAAACAUCUAAGUACCCCGAGGAAAAGAAAUCAACCGAGAUUCCCCCAGUAGCGGCGAGCGAACGGGGAGCAGCCCAGAGUCUGAAUCAGCUUGUGUGUUAGUGGAACGGUCUGGAAAGUCCGACGGUACAGGGUGAUAGUCCCGUACACCAAAAUGCACAGGUUGUGAACUCGAAGAGUAGGGCGGGACACGUGGUAUCCUGUCUGAAUAUGGGGGGACCAUCCUCCAAGGCUAAAUACUCCUGACUGACCGAUAGUGAACCAGUACCGUGAGGGAAAGGCGAAAAGAACCCCGGCGAGGGGAGUGAAAAAGAACCUGAAACCGUGUACGUACAAGCAGUGGGAGCACCUUCGGGUGUGACUGCGUACCUUUUGUAUAAUGGGUCAGCGACUUAUAUUCUGUAGCAAGGUUAACCGUAUAGGGGAGCCGCAGGGAAACCGAGUCUUAACUGGGCGUUAAGUUGCAGGGUAUAGACCCGAAACCCGGUGAUCUAGCCAUGGGCAGGUUGAAGGUUGGGUAACACUAACUGGAGGACCGAACCGACUAAUGUUGAAAAAUUAGCGGAUGACUUGUGGCUGGGGGUGAAAGGCCAAUCAAACCGGGAGAUAGCUGGUUCUCCCCGAAAGCUAUUUAGGUAGCGCCUCGUGAAUUCAUCUUCGGGGGUAGAGCACUGUUUCGGCUAGGGGGUCAUCCCGACUUACCAACCCGAUGCAAACUACGAAUACCGAAGAAUGUUAUCACGGGAGACACACGGCGGGUGCUAACGUCCGUCGUGAAGAGGGAAACAACCCAGACCGCCAGCUAAGGUCCCAAAGUCAUGGUUAAGUGGGAAACGAUGUGGGAAGGCACAGACAGCCAGGAUGUUGGCUUAGAAGCAGCCAUCAUUUAAAGAAAGCGUAAUAGCUCACUGGUCGAGUCGGCCUGCGCGGAAGAUGUAACGGGGCUAAACCAUGCACCGAAGCUGCGGCAGCGACACUAUGUGUUGUUGGGUAGGGGAGCGUUCUGUAAGCCUGCGAAGGUGACCUGUGAGGGUUGCUGGAGGUAUCAGAAGUGCGAAUGCUGACAUAAGUAACGAUAAAGCGGGUGAAAAGCCCGCUCGCCGGAAGACCAAGGGUUCCUGUCCAACGUUAAUCGGGGCAGGGUGAGUCGACCCCUAAGGCGAGGCCGAAAGGCGUAGUCGAUGGGAAACAGGUUAAUAUUCCUGUACUUGGUGUUACUGCGAAGGGGGGACGGAGAAGGCUAUGUUAGCCGGGCGACGGUUGUCCCGGUUUAAGCAUGUAGGCUGGUUGUCCAGGCAAAUCCGGAUAAUCAAGGCUGAGGUGUGAUGACGAGGCACUACGGUGCUGAAGUAACAAAUGCCCUGCUUCCAGGAAAAGCCUCUAAGCAUCAGGUAACAUUAAAUCGUACCCCAAACCGACACAGGUGGUCAGGUAGAGAAUACCAAGGCGCUUGAGAGAACUCGGGUGAAGGAACUAGGCAAAAUGGUGCCGUAACUUCGGGAGAAGGCACGCUGGUGUGUAGGUGAAGCCCCUGCGGGUGGAGCUGAGACCAGUCGAAGAUACCAGCUGGCUGCAACUGUUUAUUAAAAACACAGCACUGUGCAAACACGAAAGUGGACGUAUACGGUGUGACGCCUGCCCGGUGCCGGAAGGUUAAUUGAUGGGGUUAUCCGUAAGGAGAAGCUCUUGAUCGAAGCCCCGGUAAACGGCGGCCGUAACUAUAACGGUCCUAAGGUAGCGAAAUUCCUUGUCGGGUAAGUUCCGACCUGCACGAAUGGCGUAAUGAUGGCCAGGCUGUCUCCACCCGAGACUCAGUGAAAUUGAACUCGCUGUGAAGAUGCAGUGUACCCGCGGCAAGACGGAAAGACCCCGUGAACCUUUACUAUAGCUUGACACUGAACAUUGAGCCUUGAUGUGUAGGAUAGGUGGGAGGCUUUGAAGCGUGGACGCCAGUCUGCGUGGAGCCAACCUUGAAAUACCACCCUUUAAUGUUUGAUGUUCUAACGUUGGCCCCUUACCGGGGUUGCGGACAGUGUCUGGUGGGUAGUUUGACUGGGGCGGUCUCCUCCCAAAGCGUAACGGAGGAGCACGAAGGUUAGCUAAUCCUGGUCGGACAUCAGGAGGUUAGUGCAAUGGCAUAAGCUAGCUUGACUGCGAGCGUGACGGCGCGAGCAGGUGCGAAAGCAGGUCAUAGUGAUCCGGUGGUUCUGAAUGGAAGGGCCAUCGCUCAACGGAUAAAAGGUACUCCGGGGAUAACAGGCUGAUACCGCCCAAGAGUUCAUAUCGACGGCGGUGUUUGGCACCUCGAUGUCGGCUCAUCACAUCCUGGGGCUGAAGUAGGUCCCAAGGGUAUGGCUGUUCGCCAUUUAAAGUGGUACGCGAGCUGGGUUUAGAACGUCGUGAGACAGUUCGGUCCCUAUCUGCCGUGGGCGCUGGAGAAUUGAGGGGGGCUGCUCCUAGUACGAGAGGACCGGAGUGGACGCAUCACUGGUGUUCGGGUUGUCAUGCCAAUGGCACUGCCCGGUAGCUAAAUGCGGAAGAGAUAAGUGCUGAAAGCAUCUAAGCACGAAACUUGCCCCGAGAUGAGUUCUCCCUGAGACUUUAAGUCUCCUGAAGGAACGUUGAAGACGACGACGUUGAUAGGCCGGGUGUGUAAGCGCAGCGAUGCGUUGAGCUAACCGGUACUAAUGAACCGUGAGGCUUAACCUU